ACAAUUGUUGUGAAGAUGGUUUUCACAUAGGAAAAAUUAUCAUAUAGUCACUAAAGUAUUAUUAUCUAAAGAAGAUGAAUUCUCUUUCCUUCAAAGUGAUCUUGUUGUUCACCUUGUUGCUCAUUUGCAAAGGUAAUGCAGGAUCCACAUAUCCUUGCCAGACUCCAGCAGAUUGCAAGGUUAAUUGUGGGGAAGAUGGGACAAAACUUUGUCAAGCUAAUACUUGCAUCUGCCAAAAAUGCACUGCUUUCUUCCCUCCUAGUCCAGCUGAUGAAUCUUUUGUAACCCAAGACAACUAGUACAAUGUUACAAAUGUAUUAUUGAAAUUUAAAGUUUAAUGAGGUUUUACCCUCAUACAAAUAUAUCGAAACAAUUUAUCUUA